AUUGAACGCUGGCGGCAGGCCUAACACAUGCAAGUCGAACGGUAACAGGAAGACGCUUGCUUCUUUGCUGACGAGUGGCGGACGGGUGAGUAAUGUCUGGGAAACUGCCUGAUGGAGGGGGAUAACUACUGGAAACGGUAGCUAAUACCGCAUAACGUCGCAAGACCAAAAAGGGGGACCUUCGGGCCUCUUGCCAUCGGAUGUGCCCAGAUGGGAUUAGCUAGUAGGUGGGGUAACGGCUCACCUAGGCGACGAUCCCUAGCUGGUCUGAGAGGAUGACCAGCCACACUGGAACUGAGACACGGUCCAGACUCCUACGGGAGGCAGCAGUGGGGAAUAUUGCACAAUGGGCGCAAGCCUGAUGCAGCCAUGCCGCGUGUAUGAAGAAGGCCUUCGGGUUGUAAAGUACUUUCAGCGGGGAGGAAGGGAGUAAAGUUAAUACCUUUGCCCAUUGACGUUACCCGCAGAAGAAGCACCGGCUAACUCCGUG
rnacentral:rRNA from 1 species